rnacentral:lncRNA from 1 species
AGGGUGUCACCCUCUCUCUGUUCCUGCCGCCCCCAACGCCGCCCAGCCCUGUCUGGGUGCUCCUAAGCAAGGGCUGCACCAGAGCGUUCACAGGCUCUGCCCACAAACGACCCUGGGAACUUUUUCUGGGAACUUUUUCCCGUCAUACACGUAGCACCACGGGACCGUGUUCAAAGGAGCCUGUUUUUAUCAAGCUCCAGACAUAAGGAAAGAAUUAGCUUCUUAGGAGGGAUGAUUCCAAAUCUAAAGACUCUUGUUUUGGAAGCCUCUCCUUUCAAAAGCUGGGAAAGACGAUCCUGGUCCAGCAUGAAGUCAGUCAAUCCACCUACCAGGGCAUCUGCCUGGGUAUUCACCAACAGACAUGGGUGCAGACAGAGCUGAAGUCACCCGGCCACCCAGGCCAGCUCCCUCACCCAGGUCUGAUAGCUGACUUUAGGUAACCACAAUCUAAAGACAUUAAUAAAAAUUUCCAAAAAAUGGUUCUCUAGUCUGAACUCAACCA